GGUCGGUUAGCUCAGUUGGUUAGAGCGUGGUACUAAUAUUUCAUCAAGAAAUGUUGUGUAAAUGCCAAGGCCGGGAGUUCAAGCCUCCCACUGAUCA
rfam:Colletotrichum fioriniae PJ7 Scaffold_513.1, whole genome shotgun sequence.